UGGAUCCAGACUUUGAUUCUGGCUCAGGACGAACGCUGGCGGCGCGCCUAACACAUGCAAGUCGAACGGAGUUAAGAGGAGCUUGCUUUUCUUAACUUAGUGGCGAACGGGUGAGUAACGCGUGAGUAACCUGCCCUGGAGUGGGGGACAACAGUUGGAAACGACUGCUAAUACCGCAUAAGCCCACGGAGCCGCAUGGUUCUGGGGGAAAAGGAUUUAUUCGCUUCAGGAUGGACUCGCGUCCAAUUAGCUAGUUGGUGAGGUAACGGCCCACCAAGGCGACGAUUGGUAGCCGGACUGAGAGGUUGAACGGCCACAUUGGGACUGAGACACGGCCCAGACUCCUACGGGAGGCAGCAGUGGGGGAUAUUGCACAAUGGGGGAAACCCUGAUGCAGCGACGCCGCGUGGAGGAAGAAGGUUUUCGGAUUGUAAGCUCCUGUCGUUAGGGACGAUAAUGACGGUACCUAACAAGAAAGCACCGGCUAACUACGUGCCAGCAGCCGCGGUAAAACGUAGGGUGCAAGCGUUGUCCGGAAUUACUGGGUGUAAAGGGAGCGCAGGCGGACCGGCAAGUUGGAAGUGAAAACUAUGGGCUCAACCCAUAAAUUGCUUUCAAAACUGCUGGCCUUGAGUAGUGCAGAGGUAGGUGGAAUUCCCGGUGUAGCGGUGGAAUGCGUAGAUAUCGGGAGGAACACCAGUGGCGAAGGCGACCUACUGGGCACCAACUGACGCUGAGGCUCGAAAGCAUGGGUAGCAAACAGGAUUAGAUACCCUGGUAGUCCAUGCCGUAAACGAUGAUUACUAGGUGUUGGAGGAUUGACCCCUUCAGUGCCGCAGUUAACACAAUAAGUAAUCCACCUGGGGGAGUACGACCGCAAGGUUGCAACUCAAAUGAAUUGACGA
rnacentral:rRNA from 2 species